rnacentral:rRNA from 1 species
AGCGGCGGACGGGUGAGUAACACGUGGGUAACCUGCCCAAGAGACUGGGAUAACACCUGGAAACAGAUGCUAAUACCGGAUAACAACACUAGACGCAUGUCUGGAGUUUGAAAGAUGGUUCUGCUAUCACUCUUGGAUGGACCUGCGGUGCUUUAGCUAGUUGGUAAGGUAACGGCUUACCGAGGCAAUGAUGCAUAGCCGAGUUGAGAGACUGAUCGGCCACAUUGGGACUGAGACACGGCCCAAACUCCUACGGGAGGCAGCAGUAGGGAAUCUUCCACAAUGGACGAAAGUCUGAUGGAGCAACGCCGCGUGAGUGAAGAAGGGUUUCGGCUCGUAAAGCUCUGUUGGUAGUGAAGAAAGAUAGAGGUAGUAACUGGCCUUUAUUUGACGGUAAUUACUUAGAAAGUCACGGCUAACUACGUACCAGCAGCCGCGGUAAUACGUAGGUGGCAAGCGUUGUCCGGAUUUAUUGGGCGUAAAGCGAGUGCAGGCGGUUCAAUAAGUCUGAUGUGAAAGCCUUCGGCUCAACCGGAGAAUUGCAUCAGAAACUGUUGAACUUGAGUGCAGAAGAGGAGAGUGGAACUCCAUGUGUAGCGGUGGAAUGCGUAGAUAUAUGGAAGAACACCAGUGGCGAAGGCGGCUCUCUGGUCUGCAACUGACGCUGAGGCUCGAAAGCAUGGGUAGCGAACAGGAUUAGAUACCCUGGGUAGUCCAUGCCGUAAACGAUGAGUGCUAAGUGU